rnacentral:rRNA from 1 species
GAUGAACGCUGGCGGCGUGCCUAACACAUGCAAGUCGAACGGAGUCCAGCCUUUAAGACCUUCGGGUCAAAGAGGGGAAGACUGAGUGGCGGACGGGUGAGUAACACGUGGGCAACCUGGCUCAUAGAGGGGGAUAACAGAGAGAAAUUUCUGCUAAUACCGCAUAAGCACACACUGCCGCAUGGCAGAGGGUGAAAAGAGAAUCGCUAUGAGAUGGACCCGCGUCUGAUUAGCCAGUUGGCAGGGUAAGAGCCUACCAAAGCGACGAUCAGUAGCCGAUCUGAGAGGAUGAACGGCCACAUUGGGACUGAGGCACGGCCCAAACUCCUACGGGAGGCAGCAGUGGGGGAUAUUGCACAAUGGGGGGAACCCUGAUGCAGCGACGCCGCGUGAGUGAAGAAGUAUUUCGGUAUGUAAAGCUCUAUCAGCAGGGAAGAUAAUGACAGUACCUGAAUAAGAAGCCCCGGCUAACUACGUG